GAGGGCAUAGAUCAAUGGUAGAGUGCGUGCUUAGCAUGCGUGAGGUCCUGGGUUCAAUUCCCGGUACUUUCA
rnacentral:tRNA from 1 species